rnacentral:rRNA from 1 species
UACGGGGGGGGCAAGCGUUGUUCGGAAUUGCUGGGCGUAAAGGGCUCGUAGGUGGCCAACUAAGUCAGACGUGAAAUCCCUCGGCUUAACCGGGGAACUGCGUCUGAUACUGGAUGGCUUGAGUUCGGGAGAGGGAUGCGGAAUUCCAGGUGUAGCGGUGAAAUGCGUAGAUAUCUGGAGGAACACCGGUGGCGAAGGCGGCAUCCUGGACCGACACUGACACUGAGGAGCGAAAGCCAGGGGAGCAAACGGG